CCUACGUGAUGCAGCAGUGGGGAAUAUUGGACAAUGGGCGAAAGCCUGAUCCAGCCAUGCCGCGUGUGUGAAGAAGGCCUUCGGGUUGUAAAGCACUUUCAGUGGGGAAGAAAGCCUUGGGGCUAAUACCCUCGAGGAAGGACAUCACCCACAGAAGAAGCACCGGCUAACUCCGUGCCAGCAGCCGCGGUAAUACGGAGGGUGCGAGCGUUAAUCGGAAUUACUGGGCGUAAAGCGCGCGUAGGCGGUCUGAUAAGCCGGUUGUGAAAGCCCCGGGCUCAACCUGGGAACGGCAUCCGGAACUGUCAGGCUAGAGUGCAGGAGAGGAAGGUAGAAUUCCCGGUGUAGCGGUGAAAUGCGUAGAGAUCGGGAGGAAUACCAGUGGCGAAGGUGGCCUUCUGGACUGACACUGACGCUGAGGUGCGAAAGCGUGGGUAGCAAACAGGAUUAGAUACCCCGGUAGUC
rnacentral:rRNA from 1 species